UACGAAGGGUGCAAGCGUUACUCGGAAUUACUGGGCGUAAAGCGUGCGUAGGUGGUGAGUUAAGUCUGAUGUGAAAUCCCCGGGCUCAACCUGGGAAUGGCAUUGGAUACUGGCUCGCUGGAGUGCGGUAGAGGGUGGUGGAAUUCCCGGUGUAGCUGUGAAAUGCGUAGAGAUCGGGAGGAACAUCUGUGGCGAAGGCGGCCACCUGGACCAGCACUGACACUGAGGCACGAAAGCGUGGGGAGCAAACAGG
rnacentral:rRNA from 1 species